UACGAAGGGGGCUAGCGUUGCUCGGAAUCACUGGGCGUAAAGCGCACGUAGGCGGAUUGUUAAGUCGGGGGUGAAAUCCUGGAGCUCAACUCCAGAACUGCCUUCGAUACUGGCGACCUUGAGUCCGGGAGAGGUGAGUGGAACUCCGAGUGUAGAGGUGAAAUUCGUAGAUAUUCGGAAGAACACCAGUGGCGAAAGCGGCUCACUGGCCCGGUACUGACGCUGAGGUGCGAAAGCGUGGGGAGCAAACGGG
rnacentral:rRNA from 1 species